CAGCCAUGGAGGCAGCUUGGGGGGCGCCCAGGGGGCUGGGACUGGGACGAUCCGCUGGCAUCCUGGCCCGGGGCAGGGGGUACCGGCUCGGGACGGGGCUGACCCGGCAGCGGGGAGCCUGGGGACUGGUACGGGAGCGGCCGCCCUGAGCGAGAGCAGCGGAGCUGCCCACUCCGGAGCGGCUCGUGCUGGGACCUAGCGAUCUCCAGGUCAUGGAGCCGAGGGGUCUGUCUGAGACACCUGCCAUCACAGUGGACCUCGAUCAGCCCUGACAGCAGGAUCGCUGACAUCUCUGCAGGGUGCCCUCCGCAUGGAGUUCCCAUGACGAUGAUGCGUCUUUCCAGGGAAACAGAUUCCUAGCUCCAAACCUGCAAGGUCCCAGCAUGCCUUGCAAGGUGGGGGGGCAGGGAUCACUCACCCUGCUGCUGAAAUGCAGCCACCUCUGGGGUGGAACGCACCGGCGAGGACGAUGCCGCAAACCCUGCUGCGUGGAUGCUCAACUCCCAGGGAAGCAGCCAGGGCUGUAGGAAUGCGAGAGCAGCAUUUGUUACCGGUUCACAGCGGCGAACAACUUUGUCUGGCUCCCCAGACCCCGCUUGCAGGAGCCGAGGGAGACCUGACGGAAGGCAGCUGGAGCCGGAGACAGUCAGGAAUGAAUGGAUGGGGUGGGAGGUGCAAUAAAAGCCCUGACCACUG